rfam:Schistosoma rodhaini strain Burundi genome assembly, scaffold: SROB_scaffold0001215
AUCCAGCUGACGAGUCCCAUGUAGAAUGAAACCAGCGUCCUGUAU